UAAAAUUAAAAACGAGGAUGUAUCCACAUCACCGUUGCACAUUGUUAUUAAUUUCACAGUUAUCUGUUCUUUAUUAGAGAUAGCCUAAUUAAAGACGGCGCUAAUAAAAUGUGAAGGUGGAUAUAAAGAAAUAAGGUCAAUUUCCGCACUGACAGUAUAGCAAGUAGUCUUAUAUAACAUAUUAAAAAUAUUCCAUGGUUAAAAAUGCACGAUGUUAUAUAGUAAAAGAGUGUGUUUGAGUAAUCAAUAGGAUAUUUUGUAUUGGCUAUAUUGUUUCACUCGUAAAGAAAAUACCAAAAUCGACGUGCGAAACGUAAAAAUUUAUAUCUGAAAUAAUAUUGUUAAGGGCGUUAAGCUAGUUAAAAAUAAUCACGAUUAUUUACUAUGUAUAAAUUAGAUAAAACGUUAAGAUGUAAAUUCUUAUCAUAAAUAUAAAAUGCACAUAAUAUUAUAAUAUUCAUUCAUAUUUCAUUAUUUCAGGUAAAAGUACAAACAUAUUGUUUUAAAUCCUAUGUAAUCAGCACUUUAUGUUGGAUUUCAACAAUGCUUAAUUAAUUAUCGGGUGUAGCAGCGGUGUACAUUACCCAUAUGAUAUAACGCAAAGGUAACGGUCAAGCGACUUCCCACAUUUAUAUGACAUGUUUUAUUAUCGUUAUCAGGUAUCUGUUAUGUGUCAACGGAUUAACGGACAUUGGUUGAUUACCCGAUAAUAUGCAAGUAUCAAAUGAUUUAGAUUCAUAAGUUAUGGGAAAACAUUAUAUGCCUGACCUGAAAAAUGUAAGUCAUAACAAAUAAUUAUAUUAUAAGUUCACUUACCAGAAUCACAACCUAAGUGUUGCCAUCGCUCGCAGGCAUCGCAAGAAACAGCACGUUGCCUCUGCCCAACUGUCUUUCCACAAUGUAUGCACUUUACCACUUCUGCCAUUGCAGAAACACAAAACUCACUUACUCUCACAGUAAAAUUAUUGUAUCCUACAUUUAAGAAGCACAAAUGUUUGAAAUAUUUAUAUAAAUUAGUUCAAUUUAUGAUUCACUGUGUGUGUUUCAGAGUUUAUUUACAGGUCCUACUGGCCUCUUCACGAGGUUAUGGUAGCCCGACCUGCCCCUGUGACCUCUCAGGGGAAAAAGAUUAAUUUAGAGCCAAAUUCCCAGAUCGCAGAACACGCCGCCCCCGCACAAGCGCACCCACGCCGAGCGAGCCCGAGCCCCCCCCCCCCCGCGCCCGCAUACGGCCCCGGCCCUAGCACCCAACCGCUGAAGACCCUCGAGACAAGCACCCUCAUCCACCCUCUCGCUGCGCGCGACAACAGAUCAGUCAAGAACCAACCAUGGAGCCCCCCAAAGCCCCACCCGGAGUCACCAUCGUUCUUUCCCACCCACCUGCCAAACAUCCAGACCAUGUAUCAAGCUGGGAUGUAUUUAUUUUGUAGUUAUGUUAUAUUUGCUAUUAUAAUUGGAUAGGUAAAGUAAAUAAAUGAUCUCAAAAUGCCGUUGUUAUAUCAUAUGAUUUAUUUAUGUUUUAUAUUAAUUUGUAAAACUCAUAGUAUUAUAGUUUAUGUCCCGUAUUCUAGCUUUCAUUUACCCAAGUGUGGUUAUUGUGCUCUCCGCCCCAUGAGAGGUGUUAGUGGGGGUUCGAGCAGGAUACAGGAAACGCCCCGAUUCCAGAGGCGCCCCUGGUUCUUUUAAGUGCCCGGUGUAUAGCACCGAUACACUGCACCCCCGUUUAACGUCUCUCGCGGAGGACAUAUUAGUACAUAGUGUUAGUAUCGGUACUUAUAUACAUGUGUAGUUCUGCUGUCUUGUGUCAUAUCUUACGGUAACGUGGGCUCUCUCUGUUGCUAUUUGGUAUAUAGUUUGAAUGUUAUUGCGAAGGGCAGGCUAGUUUUUGAAAGAUCAUGUAUUUGAUGAUAGAAGAAAGGGACUAUGUUUGUUUGAUUGGGCCGAUGACUAGUUCGUUGGGGGUAGAAAAUUUCUUUGUAAAUUCUUUCUUAUUGCUGUGUUAAGUGUCUUGUGAGACUGUGGUGUUGUAAGGGCCAGACUAGUUUUGAUAGGUCAUUUAUUUGAUGAAAGAAGAGAGGGCUGAGUUUGAGAUGAUAGUAAAUUUGGUAUUAGGGAGAGCGCACACGUUAGUGUUUCUGGUUAUAAAAGCAAAGACAGCAUUCCUAUGUGUUUUUGUAAUAUGCCAGGUUAGUAUCGUGGUCUGGUCUGGGGCAUAUGAUUCACUGAAAACUGCCCGCUUUAUAUACAGACAGCCCUCUUAAAUGAUCAGUCGCCAAAUACGCAAUCGCUCCGCCCACUAAGUUGUGUUUUCAUAAAACGCUUAUUCCAUUACUCCGUAAGUCUUUGUUUGUCGGACCAUGUGGCCGCAAUAAACGAAAUCUGAUUGAUUAUUACGUGAGUUUGAUUGACAGCUGGCGAGUGGUCAAUUACUUUAAAAAGAGCAUUGUUGUCUGGUUAAGCUUGUUAAUAACCUUAUGUAGUCUUUUAUCACGCCAAACUGUGAUACCAUAUGUCUUACUCAUAAAUCUGUGUCCAGACAAUCAAAGCAUGUCGGCAUAAUUAAUUUUCAUCAACUCACACUUUUACAAAACAUAACUAACACAAAAGCAUUCAAUUAUUCUUCUAUAUUUAAACCAAACUAUCAUACAAUAUGUCUGAUUAAAAAAUCUUUGAACAGAAAAUGAAAGCAUGCCGUCAAAUUAAACGUCGUUUAACAUUUCACGCUUGUUCAGAUUUCAGGGGCGAAUUGUCUUGGGGUGAGAUUUCUUUGGGGCGAGUUGUCUGAUUCCCAUUCCGAAUGGACUUUGAAAGAAACGAACGACAACUUUGUAAGAAAACCCGCCAAUGGGGCUCGCGACCAAUCGGAUGGAUGCUAUGCCUGCUGGGAUAGCCAUGCUCUUUUUCGACGCGGACAGUGGACCCGACAUGACCGACUUAACGGACUCGACGUGACGGACUCGACCUAAUCAAUUUUCUUUAUUCUUAGACUUAAGUCUAAGAAUUGUUUGGUGAAUACGGGCCUAGCAGAUUCUUUUGUGCACGAGAUGCGGUCAAAAAGAAGAAAAGACGAAAGAACCAAUCCAGACUUGGUGGCAGAGGAAAGUAUAAAAAAGAAUGCAGAUCUUGGUGGAUUUUGUGUGGAUACAAUUCCACCUAAAGGUAGAGGAGUUAGAACAGAAGUUCAUAGAAACAAGGGCGACUUUCUCCUUACCUAUCAUGGAGAAUUAAUCACAGGAGAAGAAGGCAAUAAAAGAGAACUAAUGUCUGUCUCUGUCUUCAGAUUCUUCUUUUCUUUCAAAGGGAAGCAGUGGUGCAUCGAUUCUACCCUGGAAGUCAAAAGUGGUCAGUUCUUGG